rnacentral:rRNA from 1 species
GACAGAACGAGCAAGCGUUAUUUUUCACAACUGGGUGUAAGAUGUGUGUAGGCACUAACUAACGUUUUUUAAGAAAUCUUUGUUCAAUAUAAAACGAGAAAUUAAGUUCUUUUAGUAUAGUUUUGUUAAGAUUUUUACAAUUCCUUAUAUAAAGAUAAAAUUUGCUCUUAAGAUAGGGAGGAAUGCCAAUUGUGCAGACGAAUUUUUAGAUAAAACUGAAGCUGAGACACGAAAACAUGGGUAGCAAAAAGG